CCUUUUCUUGUUUAACCCGCCUAUAUACCGCCGUCGUCAGCUUACCCUGUAAAGGUCCCAUAGUAAGCAAAAAUGAUUUAAAUCCAAAACGUCAGGUCGAGGUGUAGCGCAUGGAAAGGAAAGAAAUGGGCUACAUUCCCUACCCCAGGGAACACGAAUAGUACACUGAAACACGUACUUGAAGGAGGAUUUAACAGUAAGCAGAAAACAGAGCGUUCUGCUGAAACUGGCCCUGAAGCGCGUACACACCGCCCGUCACUCUCCCCAAACAAACCUACCAAAUUAACCUAAACAACUACUUACUCAAAGGGGAGGCAAGUCGUAACAUGGUAAGUGUACCGGAAGGUGCACUUGGAACAAC
rnacentral:rRNA from 1 species